GACGAACGCUGGCGGCGUGCUUAACACAUGCAAGUCGAACGGUGAAGGGGUCUGCUUUUGUGGGCCCUGGAUGAGUGGCGAACGGGUGAGUAACACGUGAGUAACCUGCCCCCUUCUUCUGGAUAACCGCAUGAAAGUGUGGCUAAUACGGGAUAUUCUGGGUCUGUCGCAUGAUGGGUCUGGGAAAGAUUGCGCCUUUGGGUGUUUUUGGUGGGGGAUGGGCUCGCGGGCUAUCAGCUUGUUGGUGGGGUGAUGGCCUACCAAGGCGGUGACGGGUAGCCGGCCUGAGAGGGUGGACGGUCACACUGGGACUGAGACACGGCCCAGACUCCUACGGGAGGCAGCAGUGGGGAAUAUUGCACAAUGGGCGCAAGCCUGAUGCAGCGACGCCGCGUGAGGGAUGGAGGCCUUCGGGUUGUAAACCUCUUUCGCCAGUGAAGCAGGCCUGCUCCGUGUGGGUGGGUUGACGGUAGCUGGAUAAGAAGCGCCGGCUAACUACGUG
rnacentral:rRNA from 1 species